CAUAGAUUUUGCCCUUGAAACACUAACAUGUUACAAGGUGGCCAUGUGUAUGUGUAACCUAAACACAACUAUCCCAAAACAGAUUCUGGGUUUUUAUGACCUCUCUGCCGCGCCCUCAAAACCCCAAUUCCCAAUUCCCAAUUCCCAAUUCCCAAUUCGCAACAUCUUCUCUUCAUAAGGUUAGUUAGGGUUUCAACUUUUAAGGCCUCAAAAUGGACGCAGAGAUUGAUCACUACGCGGUGCUAGGGUUACCGUCCGGCGAAGAAGGCGCCAAGCUCACAGAGAAGGAAAUCACGAAGGCCUACAAAUUUAAGGCUCUCGAAUUGCACCCCGACAAGAGGCCCGACGACGCCAACGCCGCCGCCAACUUCCAACAGCUCCGAACAUCCUACGAUGUCCUCAGAGAUGACAAGGCGCGCAACUUGUUCCACGACCUAUUGCGCGUCAAGCGCGAGCGAGAGCUCCGACACUCGCAGCGUGACGGAAAGCGCCGCAAGAUGGUCUCCGACCUCGAGCGCCGCGAGCGCGACGCCACCGCCCCCGACGCCGCCGCGAAGGAGCGCGAGGAGGAGGCCAGGAUCGCCAGGCAGCUCAAGGAGGAGAUCGCCAGGAUUCGGGCUAUGCACGGGACGAAGGAGGCGGCGGUGCCGGAGAAGAAGAGCGCCGGUUCCGGCGGCGGCGGUGGUGGUGGAGGAGGAGGUGGCGUGGAUCAGGAGAAGGUUCUGAAGGUUUCGUGGGAGAAGGUGGGUGAGGAUUAUUCGGCUGAUAAGUUGAGGGAGUUGUUUUCGAAGUUUGGUGAAGUGGAAGAUGUUGUCAUCAAAGGGAGUAAGAAGAAGGGUUCCGCGCUCGUUGUUAUGGCCACUAAAGAAGGAGCUGUUGCUACAAUUGGGAGUGUGAUUGGUCAUCUUGCUAAUCCAUUGCUGGUUUUACCUCUUAAACCGGCCACCGUUGCUGAUACUUCAAGUGUUCCGAAGUCUGCUGAAACUGAAAGGAUGAGUAAUCUAGUCGGGGCUGGGUAUCAAGCUUUUGAAGAUUCUGUUCUGAAGAAGCUGCAAAAGGCUGCAGAAAAGCAAAGAUGAUGCUGUCAGAAUGGUAAACAUAAGAUUCAAUUAUUUGGCAAGGUCAUCCUCAAUUCUAAUUUAUAGGAGUCUGCAAAACCUUUGGUGAUAUAAUUCCAGAAAAUUUCCUUUGGAUGAAAACCGUAAACUGAAAAUCGAAUCAGUCGUGGUUUUAUUGUCAUCUGGGGUCUUGCCAAAUGCUACUACUACUGUGGUUGCAAACAGAAAAUUGUAUCAGUUGUGGGUUGCAAACAGAGAAAUCCAAUACUGCUACUGUGCAAGCAGACGGAAAGUUAGAGAUCAUUGAUUCCCCACCAUUGCAUUAAAUUUUAGUCUCAAUCAAAGUCUCGCAUGCCUGCUUAUCUGUUUGGAAUUCACUGUGCUGUCUGUCACACAGCACUUAAAUGGGAAUGGAACUCGGAUUAAGCCCGUAUUCCAAGAACACACAUUUGGUAAAGCUUACUCUCAACGUGCUGGACGAAGUGCUAUAAAGUGCAAUUGCGAUAGUAAGUUUGCCUGGAAUUGGACAUAGAAGAAUCCUUGGGAUGAUUCUUCUCAGUCUGCAAUGUUUUGCAAGAAAAAUAAAUAAGUUGUAUAAAUGCUAUAGCAGCAUUAGAACGUGAGCUCAAGUACCGAAGCUGUGGCAUGUGUGCUAUCAUCAUCAUUUAUCAACACUCAUUCUUGUCCGAUCAACAGUGUUAACUACAAAGCUUUCUAAAAGUGUCAUUUACACUGGUCA